rnacentral:rRNA from 1 species
AUUGAACGCUGGCGGCAUGCCUUACACAUGCAAGUCGAACGGCAGCGGGGGAGAAGCUUGCUUUUCCUGCCGGCGAGUGGCGAACGGGUGAGUAAUACAUCGGAACGUGCCCUGUAGUGGGGGAUAACUAGUCGAAAGAUUAGCUAAUACCGCAUACGACCUGAGGGUGAAAGUGGGGGACCGCAAGGCCUCAUGCUAUAGGAGCGGCCGAUGUCUGAUUAGCUAGUUGGUGGGGUAAAGGCCUACCAAGGCGACGAUCAGUAGCUGGUCUGGGAGGAAGAUCAGCCCCACGGGGACUGAGACACGGCCCAGACUCCUACGGGGGGCAGCAGUGGGGAAUUUUGGACAAUGGGCGAAAGCCUGAUCCAGCAAUGCCGCGUGUGUGAAGAAGGCCUUCGGGUUGUAAAGCACUUUUGUCCGGAAAGAAAUGGCUCUGGUUAAUACCUGGGGUCGAUGACGGUACCGGAAGAAUAAGGACCGGCUAACUACGUGCCAGCAGCCGCCGUAA